rnacentral:rRNA from 1 species
GAACACGAAGUGGUUGAUGCCAUGCUUCCAAGAAAAGCUUCUAAGCUUCAGGUAACCAGGAACCGUACCCCAAACCGACACAGGUGGUUGGGUAGAGAAUACCAAGGCGCUUGAGAGAACUCGGGUGAAGGAACUAGGCAAAAUGGCACCGUAACUUCGGGAGAAGGUGCGCCGGUGAGGGUGAAGGACUUGCUCCGUAAGCUCAUGCCGGUCGAAGAUACCAGGCCGCUGCGACUGUUUAUUAAAAACACAGCACUCUGCAAACACGAAAGUGGACGUAUAGGGUGUGACGCCUGCCCGGUGCCGGAAGGUUAAUUGAUGGGGUUAGCUAACGCGAAGCUCUUGAUCGAAGCCCCGGUAAACGGCGGCCGUAACUAUAACGGUCCUAAGGUAGCGAAAUUCCUUGUCGGGUAAGUUCCGACCUGCACGAAUGGCGUAACGAUGGCGGCGCUGUCUCCACCCGAGACUCAGUGAAAUUGAAAUCGCUGUGAAGAUGCAGUGUAUCCGCGGCUAGACGGAAAGACCCCGUGAACCUUUACUAUAGCUUUGCACUGGACUUUGAAUUUGCUUGUGUAGGAUAGGUGGGAGGCUUUGAAGCGUGGACGCCAGUUCGCGUGGAGCCAACCUUGAAAUACCACCCUGGCAACUUUGAGGUUCUAACUCAGGUCCGUUAUCCGGAUCGAGGACAGUGUAUGGUGGGUAGUUUGACUGGGGCGGUCUCCUCCUAAAGAGUAACGGAGGAGUACGAAGGUGCGCUCAGACCGGUCGGAAAUCGGUCGUAGAGUAUAAAGGCAAAAGCGCGCUUGACUGCGAGACAGACACGUCGAGCAGGUACGAAAGUAGGUCUUAGUGAUCCGGUGGUUCUGUAUGGAAGGGCCAUCGCUCAACGGAUAAAAGGUACUCCGGGGAUAACAGGCUGAUACCGCCCAAGAGUUCAUAUCGACGGCGGUGUUUGGCACCUCGAUGUCGGCUCAUCACAUCCUGGGGCUGAAGCCGGUCCCAAGGGUAUGGCUGUUCGCCAUUUAAAGUGGUACGCGAGCUGGGUUUAGAACGUCGUGAGACAGUUCGGUCCCUAUCUGCCGUGGACGUUUGAGAUUUGAGAGGGGCUGCUCCUAGUACGAGAGGACCGGAGUGGACGAACCUCUGGUGUUCCGGUUGUCACGCCAGUGGCAUUGCCGGGUAGCUAUGUUCGGAAUAGAUAACCGCUGAAAGCAUCUAAGCGGGAAACUAGCCUCAAGAUGAGAUCUCACUGGGACCUUGAGUCCCCUGAAGGGCCGUCGAAGACUACGACGUUGAUAGGUUGGGUGUGUAAGCGCUGUGAGGCGUUGAGCUAACCAAUACUAAUUGCCCGUGAGGCUUGACCAU